rnacentral:rRNA from 1 species
AGGGGAAUUUUGGACAAUGGGCGCAAGCCUGAUCCAGCAAUGCCGCGUGCAGGAUUAAGGCCUUCGGGUUGUAAACUGCUUUUGUACGGAGCGAAAAGGUCUGCCCUAAUACGGUGGGCUCAUGACGGUACCGUAAGAAUAAGCACCGGCUAACUACGUGCCAGCAGCCGCGGUACUACGUAGGGUGCGGGCGUUAAUCGGCAUUCCUGGGCGUAAAGCGUGCGCAGGCGGUUAUAUAGGACAGAUGUGAAAUCCCCGGGCUCAACCUGGGACCUGCAGUUGUGACUGUAUAGCUAGAGUACGGUAGAGGGAGAUGGAAUUCCGGGUGUAGCAGUGAAAUGCGUAGAUAUGCGGAGGAACACCGAUGGCGAAGGCAAUCCCCUGGACCUGUACUGACGCUCAUGCACGAAAGCGUGGGGAGCAAACA